rnacentral:lncRNA from 1 species
UCUUGGUCUUCUGGCCUGGCGGCGAUCGUCGGCCAGUUUAUCCCUCGGAGUUGCACUGGCAGACACGCCGCUACUUUGUAGCGGGUUUCGGGCGGGCCACGCGUGCGGCGACAGGAACCCAACCCCGGCCGACCUUGGGCUCCAGGAAUUCGUUGUCUACGUCUGCGGAGGUGCGGCAGCCUCAGUUUUAAGCGCAGGAAGGCAAUAGAGGCUGUGCUCUGAACCUUUCCCUCACGAUGAUCUUCUGCCUGUUGACCAUCCUGGUGUCUUUCCCAUGUGGCCCUGUAUGGUUGGCAUGGUUCCUGUCUUUAGGACUUGUGAUCAAGUAUAUCUGAAAGUUUUUAGAAGAAAAGAUGUGUUGUAACCUCCCUGGAAAAAGAAGAGACCUUAUGAAGUACUGCUAACCACCUACAUAGUCAUCAAAAUAAAAUUCCUGAAUUUGUACAAGCCACAGGAAGCUAGAUUGAGAUCAUUAUAUGACAACUGGAAGGCCAAGGCUAUGGGUUACCUCAAAUUGAGGAAUUUUGGCACCUACUCACAGGCUCCAUGAGCAGAUGAAGUAGACAGCUUUACUCAGUAUCUCAGACCAAGAACUUCAUCUCCAUCUCCAACUAGCUGAAACAUCUUCCCUCCUCAACCUGGAAAAUUCUCUGACUUAGAAAUUUAAACAAAACCCUCCCCUUUCAUUGAAUCUCCAUUGUCUGGAGUUUGCUUGUUUUAAUCUAGCCUGUUCCUCCACUAUGGGCUCCCUUUCAAACUAUGCCCUGCUUCAACUAACCCUUACUGCUUUUUUGACAAUUCUAGUACAACCUCAGCACCUGCUUGCUCCAGUUUUCCGGACACUAUCUAUCUUGACUAAUCAGUCUAAUUGCUGGUUAUGUGAACAUCUAGAUAAUGCAGAACAACCCGAACUAGUUUUUGUUCCUGCCAGUGCAAGCACCUGGUGGACCUAUUCUGGACAAUGGAUGUAUGAAAGGGUGUGGUAUCCACAAGCAGAAGUACAGAAUCACUCUACUUCCUCCUAUCGUAAAGUGACUUGGCACUGGGAAGCCUCCAUGGAAGCUCAAGGUCUAUCCUUUGCUCAAGUAAGGUUAUUGGAGGGAAAUUUUUCUCUUUGCGUAGAAAAUAAAAAUGGCAGUGGACCCUUCCUAGGUAAUAUACCUAAACAAUACUGUAAUCAAAUACUAUGGUUUGAUUCUACAGAUGGCACCUUCAUGCCCUCUAUAGAUGUUACAAAUGAAUCCAGGAACGAUGAUGAUGAUACAAGUGUUUGCCUAGGCACUAGACAAUGUUCCUGGUUUGCAGGUUGCACAAACCGGACCUGGAACAGCUCAGCUGUUCCCUUGAUUGGUCUGCCCAAUACCCAAGACUACAAAUGGGUAGAUCGAAAUUCUGGAUUGACCUGGUCAGGUAAUGACACCUGUCUCUAUAGCUGCCAAAACCAAACCAAAGGCCUUCUGUACCAGCUAUUUCGCAACCUAUUUUGCUCUUAUGGCCUGACAGAGGCACAUGGGAAAUGGAGAUGUGCAGAUGCCAGCAUAACUAAUGACAAAGGUCAUGAUGGACACCGGACCCCCACCUGGUGGCUCACAGGUUCCAAUCUGACCUUGUCUGUGAACAACUCUGGCCUCUUUUUUUUGUGCGGCAAUGGGGUGUACAAAGGGUUUCCACCUAAAUGGUCUGGGCGAUGUGGACUUGGGUAUCUUGUACCUUCCCUCACCAGAUACCUCACCUUAAAUGCUAGCCAAAUUACAAACCUGAGAUCCUUCAUUCAUAAAGUAACACCGCAUAGAUGCACCCAAGGAGACACAGACAAUCCACCUCUGUAUUGCAACCCCAAGGACAAUUCAACAAUAAGGGCCCUUUUUCCAAGUUUGGGAACUUAUGAUUUAGAAAAGGCAAUUCUAAACAUUUCCAAAGCAAUGGAACAGGAAUUCAGUGCCACUAAGCAGACCUUGGAAGCACACCAAUCAAAAGUUAGCAGUUUAGCCUCUGCAUCCCGAAAGGAUCAUGUCUUGGAUAUACCGACCACCCAACGACAAACGGCUUGUGGAACUGUUGGCAAACAGUGUUGCCUCUAUAUAAAUUAUUCGGAAGAAAUAAAGUCUAAUAUACAGCGUCUCCACGAAGCAUCCGAGAACCUGAAGAAUGUACCGUUACUUGAUUGGCAAGGCAUAUUUGCAAAAGUGGGAGACUGGUUCAGAUCAUGGGGCUAUGUGCUUUUAAUUGUUCUUUUCUGCUUAUUCAUCUUUGUUUUAAUCUAUGUUCGUGUCUUUCGCAAAUCUCGCAGAUCCCUUAACUCCCAACCUCUGAACCUAGCCUUAUCUCCACAGCAAUCAGCACAGCUCCUUGUCAGUGAAACUUCAUGUCAAGUUUCAAAUAGGGCAAUGAAGGGACUAACAACCCAUCAAUAUGACACAAGUCUACUUUGAGAAUAUCUGAACAAACAGCAGCUGCAGACAAAAAGCCUUAGCUAAACUUUGAUGAGUAAAGCAGGUCUUACCGAGAAUUCAGCUGCCAAAACCCUCCUCUGAGUGUUCCUCUUAUAAGGGCACUUAGCACUAGGACCUCCCAAGGUAUUGUAAAUAAGCCUUAUCAGAACUUUUUGUAGUUUCAUUCUGAAGCCUUAAGACACACACCAUAAAGCUGAUCUGUAAACCCUUACCCCUUGCUGUUCAGAGAGCUACUCUUUGUAGUGUUCUUGCAUGCAUAUAUAAUAAAUGUUUUUUCUAUUGAUCUGUUAA